GACGAACGCUGGCGGCGUGCUUAACACAUGCAAGUGGAGCGACGAACCAGGCUUCGGCCUGGGGCAAAGCCGCGAACGGGUGAGUAACACGUGGGUAACCUGCCCCGAUGACUGGGACGAACCCGGGGAAACCCGGGCGUAAUACCGGAUGCGCUCUCAUCACAUCAGUGAUGUGAGUAAAGGUAGCUUCGGCCUCCGCAUCGGGAGUGGGCCCGCCGGCCCAUUAGCUUGUUGGUGGGGUAACGGCCUACCAAGGCGACGAUGGGUAGCUGGUCUGAGAGGACGAUCAGCCACACUGGGACUGAGACA
rnacentral:rRNA from 1 species